AUGUCAUUAUGGGGUAUUGUGAUGUCAUUAUGGGGUAUUGUGAUGUCAUUAUGGGUUAUUGUGAUGUCAUUAUGGGGUAUUGUGAUGUCAUUAUGGGGUAUUGUGAUGUCAUUAUGGGGUAUUGUGAUGUCUUUAUGGGGUAUUGUGAUGUCAUUAUGGGGUAUUGUGAUGUCAUUAUGGGGUGUUGUGAUGUCAUUAUGGGGUAUUGUGAUGUCAUUAUGGGGUAUUGUGGUGUCAUUAUGGGGUAUUGUGAUGUCAUUAUGGGGUAUUGUGAUGUCAUUAUGGGGUAUUGUGAUGUCAUUAUGGGGUAUUGUGAUGUCAUUAUGGGGUAUUGUGAUGUCAUUAUGGGGUAUUGUGAUGUCAUUAUGGGGUAUUGUGGUGUCAUUAUGGGGUUAUUGUGAUGUCAUUAUGGGGUAUUGUGAUGUCAUUAUGGGGUAUUGUGAUGUCAUUAUGGGUUAUUGUGAUGUCAUUAUGGGGUAUUGUGAUGUCAUUAUGGGGUAUUGUGAUGUCAUUAUGGGGUAUUGUGAUGUCAUUAUGGGGUAUUGUGAUGUCAUUAUGGGGUGUUGUGAUGUCAUUAUGGGGUAUUGUGAUGUCAUUAUGGGGUAUUGUGGUGUCAUUAUGGGGUAUUGUGAUGUCAUUAUGGGUUAUUGUGGUGUCAUUAUGGGGUAUUGUGAUGUCAUUAUGGGGUAUUGUGGUGUCAUUAUGGGUUAUUGUGAUGUCAUUAUGGGGUAUUGUGAUGUCAUUAUGGGUUAUUGUGAUGUCAUUAUGGGUUAUUGUGAUGUCAUUAUGGGGUAUUGUGGUGUCAUUAUGGGGUAUUGUGAUGUCAUUAUGGGUUAUUGUGAUGUCAUUAUGGGGUAUUGUGGUGUCAUUAUGGGGUAUUGUGAUGUCAUUAUGGGGUAUUGUGAUGUCAUUAUGGGGUAUUGUGAUGUCAUUAUGGGUUAUUGUGAUGUCAUUAUGGGGUAUUGUGGUGUCAUUAUGGGGUAUUGUGAUGUCAUUAUGGGGUAUUGUGAUGUCAUUAUGGGUUAUUGUGAUGUCAUUAUGGGGUAUUGUGGUGUCAUUAUGGGGUAUUGUGAUGUCAUUAUGGGGUAUUGUGAUGUCAUUAUGGGGUAUUGUGAUGUCAUUAUGGUGUAUUGUGAUGUCAUUAUGGUGUAUUGUGAUGUCAUUAUGGGGUAUUGUGAUGUCAUUAUGGGGUAUUGUGAUGUCAUUAUGGGGUAUUGUGAUGUCAUUAUGGGGUAUUGUGAUGUCAUUAUGAGGUAUUGUGAUGUCAUUAUGGGGUAUUGUGAUGUCAUUAUGGGGUGUUGUGAUGUCAUUAUGGGGUAUUGUGAUGUCAUUAUGGGGUGUUGUGAUGUCAUUAUGGGGUAUUGUGAUGUCAUUAUGGGGUAUUGUGAUGUCAUUAUGGGGUAUUGUGAUGUCAUUAUGGGGUAUUGUGAUGUCAUUAUGGGGUAUUGUGAUGUCAUUAUGGGGUAUUGUGAUGUCAUUAUGGGGUAUUGUGGUGUCAGUAUGGGGUAUAGUGAUGUCAUUAUGGGGUAUUGUGAUGUCAUUAUGGGGUAUUGUGAUGUCAUUAUGGGGUAUUGUGAUGUCAUUAUGGGGUAUUGUGAUGUCAACGUUCAGAACGAUGUUCCUUGUGUGGUAGUAGAUGGAAUCCUUGUUCCUCCUAGCAGGAGGUGUUGUGUGGUAGUAGAUGUAAUCCUUGUUCCUCCUAUCAGGAGGUGUUGUGUGGUAGUAGAUGUAAUCCUUGUUCCUCCUAGCAGGAGGUGUUAUGUGGUAGUAGAUGUAAUCCUUGUUCCUCCUAGCAGGAGGUGUUGUGUGGUAGUAGAUGUAAUCCUUGUUCCUCAGCAGGAGGUGUUGUGUGGUAGUAGAUGUAAUCCUUGUUCCUCAGCAGGAGGUCUUGUGUGGUAG
ensembl:lncRNA